rnacentral:tRNA from 1 species
GCCGGAGUAGCUCAGUUGGUAGAGCAAUCGCUUCGUAAGCGAUAGGUCGCCGGUUCAACCCCGGCCUCCGGCU